CUAGAACCCACAAAGGGUG
rnacentral:snRNA from 1 species